CUACUUUGUCCACAAAGUCUCAGAAUAUAUAUUUUCAAUUUCAGGGUGAGCCACUGCUUAAGAGUAUCCAGGACGGUCUUAAAGGCAUAUAACUAUCUCAGCUUUCCCAAUGGAAGAAUGCUGGAGAUAAAGUCCAAAUAUCCCCAGGCACCCUUGGUUGCUGCUUUCUUGUUACGUGUCAACUUUCUAAUGCCAAGGACAACUAAUUUGAUUUCUUGCCUAAAAUUUACUUCUCACAAUAGUGUUACUGUCGAAAACAAAUAAAGUCUUUACAAUGAAA